rnacentral:rRNA from 1 species
UAGGGAAUCUUCCACAAUGGACGAAAGUCUGAUGGAGCAACGCCGCGUGAGUGAAGAAGGAUUUCGGUUCGUAAAACUCUGUUGUAAGGGAAGAACAAGUACAGUAGUAACUGGCUGUACCUUGACGGUACCUUAUUAGAAAGCCACGGCUAACUACGUGCCAGCAGCCGCGGUAAUACGUAGGUGGCAAGCGUUGUCCGGAAUUAUUGGGCGUAAAGCGCGCGCAGGCGGUCCUUUAAGUCUGAUGUGAAAGCCCACGGCUCAACCGGGGAGGGUCAUUGGAAACUGGGGGACUUGAGUGCAGAAGAGGAAAGUGGAAUUCCAAGUGUAGCGGGGAAAUGCGUAGAGAUUUGGAGGAACACCAGUGGCGAAGGCGACUUUCUGGUCUGUAACUGACGCUGAGGCGCGAAAGCGUGGGGAGCAAACAGG